rnacentral:rRNA from 1 species
AGAGUUUGAUCCUGGCUCAGAAUCAACGCUGGCGGCGUGCCUAACACAUGCAAGUCGCACGAGAAAGGGUAGCAAUACCUGAGUAAAGUGGCGCACGGGUGAGUAACACGUGAAUUAUCUACCUCCGAGUGGGGAAUAACUGAGAGAAAUCUUAGCUAAUACCGCAUAACACUUACGAGUCAAAGCAGCAAUGCGCUUGGAGAGGAGUUCGCGGCCGAUUAGUUAGUUGGCGGGGUAAUGGCCCACCAAGACGAUGAUCGGUAUCCGGCCUGAGAGGGCGCACGGACACACUGGAACUGAAACACGGUCCAGACUCCUACGGGAGGCAGCAGUGGGGAAUUUUGCGCAAUGGGGGAAACCCUGACGCAGCAACGCCGCGUGGAGGAUGAAAUAUCUUGGUAUGUAAACUCCUUUCGAUGGGGAAGAUUAUGACGGUACCCAUAGAAGAAGCCCCGGCUAACUUCGUGCCAGCAGCCGCGGUAAUACGAGGGGGGCAAGCGUUGUUCGGAUUUAUUGGGCGUAAAGGGUGCGUAGGCGGUUUGGCAAGUCUUAUGUGAAAUCUUCGGGCUCAACCCGAAGCCUGCAUAAGAAACUGCCGGGCUUGAGUAUGGGAGAGGUGAGUGGAAUUUCCGGUGUAGCGGUGAAAUGCGUAGAUAUCGGAAGGAACACCUGUGGCGAAAGCGGCUCACUGGACCAUAACUGACGCUGAUGCACGAAAGCUAGGGGAGCAAACAGGAUUAGAUACCCUGGUAGUCCUAGCCCUAAACGAUGAUUGCUUGGUGUGGCAGUACCCAUCCUGCCGUGCCGAAGCUAACGCGAUAAGCAAUCCGCCUGGGGAGUACGGUCGCAAGGCUGAAACUCAAAGGAAUUGACGGGGCCCGCACAAGCGUGGAGCAUGUGGUUUAAU